rnacentral:rRNA from 1 species
AUAUUAAUAAGCGGAGGAAAAGAAACUAACAAGGAUUCCCUUAGUAACGGCGAGUGAAGCGGGAAUAGCUCAAAUUUGAAAUCUCCCGUGGCGACGUGGGCGAAUUGUAGUUUAGAGAAGCGCUUUCUGGAAUGGGAUGCCGUCUAAGUUCUUUGGAACGAGACAUCAAUGA